rnacentral:rRNA from 1 species
AUUAAUUAAUUUGUUUAUAUUAUGUGAGGUUUUUAUAAAUAUUUAAAUUAAAUAAAUUUAUGUUAUUGUAAAAUGAAUUGAUCAAAUUAUUUUUACUAUAGUGAAUUAGUAUUGUGGAGGAAUAAUGAGGUAAACUUUAUAAGUAGGAAAAGGUAUUUUAAAUAAAUGUAUCUUGUGUAUCAGAAUAUAUUGAAGUGUAUUAUAAAUUUAUUUUUCUCGAAUUUAAAAGAUUUAAUUAGAUAUAUUUAUUUAUUGUGGAAUAAAUAUUAAAAAUUUCUAUAUUGGUAAUGAGAUGUUAAUCGUUUUUUAGGAUAUCUAGUAUUUUAAUAAAUGAAUUUAAUUCAUAAGAUGUAAUUUAUUUUCAAAAUUAGUUUUGAAAAUAUUUUAUGUUUUAAAUUUUAAAAGGGAUAAACUUUUUAAAAUAAUAAUUAUAAUAUUAGUUGUGAUUUAGGAUUUUAUGAAUUUAGAAUUUGUUUUUAAUUAAAGGAUGUUAAAAUUUAAUUCUUAGUUUAAGUAUAAUUUGGAUUUAUUUAAUUUUUAUAUUAAAAUAUUAAUUUUAAUUUUAAAUUUUUAAUAAAUAUGAUUUAAUUAGUAAAUUGAAAUAUAAAUUGUUUAUUUAAUUAUUAAGCUAGUAUAAAGAAUUAGGCAAAAUAUUUUCACUCACCUGUUUAUUAAAAACAUGGUUUCUUGUUGAUAUAAGAAAUUUGACCUGCCCACUGAAAGGUAAUUAAAGGGCCGCAGUAUUUUGACUGUGCAAAGGUAGCAUAAUAAUUAGUCUUUUAAUUGAAGGCUUGUAUGAAUGGUUGGAUGAGGUGAAAACUGUUUUAUACUAAAGUUGUAUUGAAUUUAAAUUUUAAGUAAAAAGACUUAAAUGAUAUUAAGGGACGAGAAGACCCUAUAGAGUUUAAUAAGUGUAUUUUUAAUUAAGUUAAAGAUGAAUUUUUAAUUAUUGUAAAAAUUUAUUUAAUUGGGGUGAUUGAAAGAUAGAUAAAACUCUUUUUUAAAAUAAAUAUUGUAGAUAAAUAGAAGAUCCAUAAAUAGUGAUUAAAAGAUUAAAUUACCUUAGGGAUAACAGCAUAAUACUUUUUAAGAGUUCAAAUCGAAAAAAGUGAUUGUGACCUCGAUGUUGGAUUAAGAUGAAUAUUGGGUGUAGAUGUUCAAUAAUUAGGUCUGUUCGACCUAUAAAAUCUUACAUGAUCUGAGUUUAAACCGGUGUGAGCCAGGUUGGUUUCUAUCUUUAAUUUUAUAAAAUAUUUUAGUACGAGAGGACCAAAUAUUUAAAAUAAUUUUUAAUUAAAAUGAAUAUUAUAAAUUAC